rnacentral:rRNA from 1 species
GUGGGGAAUCUUGCGCAAUGGGCGAAAGCCUGACGCAGCGACGCCGCGUGAGGGAAGAAGGCCUUCGGGUUGUAAACCUCUUUCAGGAGGGACGAAGCUACUCGGGUGAACAGCCCAGAGGGUGACGGUACCUCCAGAAGAAGCCCCGGCUAACUACGUGCCAGCAGCCGCGGUAAUACGUAGGGGGCAAGCGUUGUCCGGAUUUACUGGGCGUAAAGAGCGUGUAGGCGGCCAAGCAGGUCUGUUGUGAAAACUGGAGGCUCAACCUCCAGACGUCGACAGAAACCUCCUGGCUAGAGUCCGGAAGAGGAGAGUGGAAUUCCUGGUGUAGCGGUGAAAUGCGCAGAUAUCAGGAAGAACACCAAUGGCGAAGGCAGCUCUCUGGGACGGUACUGACGCUGAGACGCGAAAGCGUGGGGAGCGAACAGGAUUAGAUACCCGAGUAGUCC